UAGGGAAUCUUCGGCAAUGGGGGGAACCCUGACCGAGCAACGCCGCGUGAGUGAAGAAGGUUUUCGGAUCGUAAAGCUCUGUUGUUAAGGAAGAACGAGUGUGAGAAUGGAAAGUUCAUACUGUGACGGUACUUAACCAGAAAGGGACGGCUAACUACGUGCCAGCAGCCGCGGUAAUACGUAGGUCCCGAGCGUUGUCCGGAUUUAUUGGGCGUAAAGCGAGCGCAGGCGGUCAAUUAAGUCUGAUGUGAAAGCCCCCGGCUCAACCGGGGAGGGUCAUUGGAAACUGGUUGACUUGAGUGCAGAAGAGGAGGGUGGAAUUCCAUGUGUAGCGGUGAAAUGCGUAGAUAUAUGGAGGAACACCAGUGGCGAAGGCGACUCUCUGGUCUGUAACUGACGCUGAGGCUCGAAAGCGUGGGUAGCAAACAGG
rnacentral:rRNA from 1 species